UAGCUCAGUUGGUAGAGUGCUUGUCUUGCAUGCACAAGGCCCUGGGUUCAAUCCCCAG
rfam:Ictidomys tridecemlineatus contig001111, whole genome shotgun sequence.